rnacentral:rRNA from 1 species
UACGAAGGGGGCUAGCGUUGCUCGGAAUCACUGGGCGUAAAGGGCGCGUAGGCGGAUCUUUAAGUCGGGGGUGAAAGCCUGAGGCUCAACCUCAGAAUUGCCUUCGAUACUGGAGAUCUUGAGACCGGAAGAGGUAAGUGGAACUGCGAGUGUAGAGGUGAAAUUCGUAGAUAUUCGCAAGAACACCAGUGGCGAAGGCGGCUCACUGGCCCGGUACUGACGCUGAGGUGCGAAAGCGUGGGGAGCAAACAGG